CCCACCCAUGCCCAACCCACGCACACACACCCACGUCACAUUGGAUACCAUCUCUCUCGUCUUCCUCGAUCCCCUUUCUCCACCCCAUGCCGCCGCCAGAUUCGGGCGAUCCCCGCGGUUCCCCACCACCUAGCUCUCCUCCUCAUGGUCACCUCUCCCCGCUCACCAUCUCCACUGACCGGCUUCUCUCCUCGCACAGGAGAGCCACGCCUAGGCACUGGUGGUGGUGCGCCGCGAGGAGGCCCCAGCAGCGUCGAGCUGCUGUUGCUGCGGGCACAGCGACGUCGGCGUGGUCAGGAUGGUCGCAGCCCUUCAAGAUACAUCAACCACCUCAAGCCCGCCCGCCUCGGUGACUGCAUCGAGGCCAAGGCGAACCCCAUCCGGUACCUCGACCCCGACGCGUACUUGGAUAAGGACCAGCUGCUGGACGCAGUGCAUUGGAUCCGGCAGGCGGUGGGGCUCGCCUGCGGCCUGCUCUGGGGCGUCGUCCCCCUCGUCGGCGCCUUCUGGAUUGCCCUAGUUACUUGGAAAUAUUGACAUUCUCAAACCAAAUAUGAGGUGCCCUUUAUUCAGUCCAUGGGAGUAUAUGAAUUUGGUUGCUGCUAUUCAUUUAUGUAUGUGAAGGAAUUGGAUAAUGUGCUCCUUUUUUGUUUGCAAAAUGAAGGACGCUGCAUCCAGGUAGUGGGAAUAGUUAGUCCUUGCUAUCAAUAGUAGUAGCAUUAUUCACUGUGGAGUGUGAUGGAAUUUGAUGAUCAUCUACUUUUGCCUAUCAUCUACUUCUGAUGUUUUCCCUGAAAGUGACACAUGAUCUUCCUUUGUUUUUCUUUAGCUGAUAGUAUGAUAACUGCUUGCUUGGCAGAAGUUAUGGUUGUGAUGUUCCUUAGAUAAAUAAAGAAACCGAGAUUUAGUUCGAUUUGGAGCGCCUCUUGUUGUACCACAGUUCCUUCUCUUAGAGUUGUAUUUGUACUGCAGGUUUUGGAUUGGGAGGGGAAAAUGCUCUUCUUUCAGUCUCUGUUGAAGUCAAACCCAUCCAUGCAAAAUCUGUACUUAGUAGAAUUAAUCUAGAUGAAUAUAUAUGCCUUGCAGUUUUAUCGUGCAUGCCAUUCAACUAACUUGCUCUUGUCCAUGCAGAUGGAGUAGGAGGACGAGCAGCAGCAGCAGCAAAUCAGUCUGAUGAUGACGGGGUGCGGGAGACAAUGGUGAUCAUGCUGAUGGCAUGAAGAAGGCUGAUGACCACAACCUGGACCUGUUGGCAUUUCGAGAUGGCAAACAUAGGCGGCGUGGAGACAACAACCUGGACCACCCACCUCCCUUGCCUUUUUAAUUUUGGUUGUGGUGGUUGCAUCACCGGCGCAGUCGCAAAUCAGUAUGUAGUGUGCUUGUGGUGUUGGGUCUGGACUGCAGUGUCCAUCCAGUAGGUUAGGUGUUGUUGCUGCUAGAUCCCAUGAUGCUCACCUAAGUUUUGUGUUAUGUGGAGGCCAACCUUUGUGAUCUUAUUUGUCGACACUUGUGUGAUCUCGUCUUACUUUGUGAUACAGGUCGUAUGAUAUAUAUGUUUUUAUGGAUGAUCUUGUCUUA